GAUGAACGCUGGCGGCGUGCCUAAUACAUGCAAGUCGAGCGAACGGACGAGAAGCUUGCUUCUCUGAUGUUAGCGGCGGACGGGUGAGUAACACGUGGAUAACCUAUCUAUAAGACUGGGAUAACUUCGGGAAACCGUAGCUAAUACCGGAUAAUAUUUUGAACCGCAUGGUUCAAAAGUGAAAGACGGUCUUGCUGUCGCUUAUAGAUGGAUCCGCGCUGCAUUAGCUAGUUGGUAAGGUAACGGCUUACCAAGGCAACGAUGCAUAGCCGACCUGAGAGGGUGAUCGGCCACACUUGAACUGAGACACGGUCCAGACUCCUACGGGAGGCAGCAGUAGGGAAUCUUCCGCAAUGGGCGAAAGCCUGACGGAGCAACGCCGCGUGAGUGAUGAAGGUCUUCGGAUCGUAAAACUCUGUUAUUAGGGAAGAACAUAUGUGUAAGUAACUGUGCACAUCUUGACGGUACCUAAUCAGAAAGCCACGGCUAACUACGUG
rnacentral:rRNA from 1 species